rnacentral:rRNA from 1 species
GUAAGGAAUAUUGGACAAUGGACGCAAGUCUGAUCCAGCCAUGUCGCGUGAAGGAUUAAGGUCCUCUGGAUUGUAAACUUCUUUUAUAAGGGACGAAAAAAGGCUUUUCUAAGUCGUCUGACGGUACCUUAUGAAUAAGCACCGGCUAACUCCGUGCCAGCAGCCGCGGUAAUACGGAGGGUGCAAGCGUUAUCCGGAUUCACUGGGUUUAAAGGGUGCGUAGGCGGGCAGGUAAGUCAGUGGUGAAAUCCUAGAGCUUAACUCUAGAACUGCCAUUGAUACUAUCUGUCUUGAAUAUUGUGGAGGUAAGCGGAAUAUGUCAUGUAGCGGUGAAAUGCUUAGAUAUGACAUAGAACACCUAUUGCGAAGGCAGCUUACUACGCAUAUAUUGACGCUGAGGCACGAAAGCGUGGGGAUCAAACAGGAUUAGAAACCCGUGUAGUCC